GGAGAAAUCUCCAGCCACUGUGACAUCAGUAUCAAGAUCAAGCUCAAUACAGGAUCGCAUCAGGAAGGCCGCCCUGUAGGCAAGACUUCCGACAUCCAACUCAACUGAGCUGAGCGGCGGCCGCGGGACACUGAAUUACCUGCCGCACGCCGGGGACACGCAGGCAGGUUCUAUCUUUCAUGGCAGUACUUCCGCCCGUCGUUGAAGGUUAAGCCGUCAUCUGCAUAAAAAAGUGUGCCUGUAUAAAAGUUCUCAUCCCUGAACCCAAUCUGUCUCGUUAAGUUUCUCAGUUAUUGAAUAUGUAAUCAGUUUGAACGGUGUCGUUGAUACUGUCCAUCCUUGCUUUAUGCCGCUGGUUAUUUCCACUUCUUCCUGAGCUUCAUCUCCUCGUUUAAUACUGGUUUUAUCCUUCUGUCAGGCCAUCAAGCCCCUCAACACUACCACCACCACCACCACCACCACCACCAGCGUCAUGGAGGCUGCAGGGAGGGACGGCAGGAUGGCAGGACAGAGACAGGUGAUGAAGAACAUGAACACUGGCGGCAGCCCUGAGGAGUGUCCAGUGUGCCUGACAGGCUAUGAUGGCACCGUGCAGCGGCCGCGCACCCUGCCCUGUGGCCACACUGUCUGCACGCUGUGCAUAGACCAGCUGGAGGAGCACGGCCGUGUUGCCUGCCCAGAGUGCCGCGUCAGCCACGCCGUGCCCGAGGGAGAACAGUUCCCUGUCAACUAUUCUGUUGAGGCCUUCAUAAGAAUGUUGAGAGACGCUGAGGAAGCAGCAGCAGCAGCAGCAGCCUCGCCACCACCCAGUGCCGGGGAAGGAGCACCAUCAGGGGCGGCUGGCAAGAAGGAGGCGGCGGGUCUCUCCAAGAAAAUGCGUUCCUUCCUGCAGGAACAGGAGGCCACAGUUGUGGCCGCCAUCACCGCCUGCCGGGAGGCUCAGUCGCAGCUGGACCAGUACCAGACGACCCUGGCAGGCUGGGGCAAGCAGCAGCAGCUGGAGGACAGGCUCCUGGGACUGGUGGACCAGAGCAGGAGUGCCAGGGAGCUCCUGCAGCAGGAAGAGUCCCGUGUGGCGGCCAAGGAGGAGGAGCUGAAGAAGGAGGAGCAGGGGCUGCAGGCCAUGCUGGAGACGUUGCGCACCCUUGCAACAGAGCAAGAAGCAGGCGCGGCGGUGAGUGAAGUGUUUCGUUGGACUGGCGAGGCAGAGCAGGCGGUGGAGGAGUGCCGAGAAGGUUUUCCUGAUGCCAGCACCGUCACCACCGCCAGGAAGGUGAGAGAGGCAUCUAGUGCAGCCCUGGAGGCUGUCCAGGCUGUCCAGGCAGCUCUGGAAACACUUGCUGCAGAGGAGCCCAGGCCCCAGGCAGACCCAGACUCCACCAUCAUGGACAGACUGCACCUCAUCUGUACAUGGAGCGUGACGGCCGAGGACCUCCGCAGCCUGACGCAGCCCGCCAGGCGCCUGCUGGAGGCUGGCCGGGUGUUUGCUGUCCACCAGGCGGAAGGUCAGCGCCGACACGCAAGAAUAAGCCUUGAAGCCGGCCAGCUGUGCCUCCACGCCCUGAAGGACCAUCCCCCGCCACUGGGCGCGGCAACCCUGCAGGUGAGCGAGGUUGUGCCGCCCUCCCCCCCCUGCACGGUGUUCCUGGACCUGUCCUGGCCGGGCAGUGCGCCGCGGCGGGUCCAAAUCCGUCUGAGCCCCGACACCCCUCGAGGCAGACAGUUGUUACUGUUGUGCACGGGGCAGCGCGGCCCCUCCUACAUUAACACCAGGUUGCAUGGAGUAGAGAGAAAGGCGGAGGCGGGAGAGUUUGUGAAGGGCGGGAACUAUGAGAGUAACGAUGGGGAAGGGUCAUCCGUCCUGCUGCCUGGCCUUGAUGAGGGUGAGUACCGAAAGUCAGGCCGGGCGGGGGAUGUGUUUGGGCUGGGGUGGACUGACCCUACCCGGAGUGAGUGUGGUAACUUUGGCAUCCGCACCAGAGACCGUAAGGAUGGUGGUGGAAGUCUUGUCUUCGGUGAGGUGGUGGACGGACUGCACGUGGUGGCCGAGGCAGCCCAACACAGGGCCAUUAAGGAGGUGACUGUGGCGGACUGUGGCGUGGUGUUGUGAGGGUAAUGGCCACCACCACCACCACCACCACCACAGCAAGGUUAUGGAGGUGACUGUGGCGUGGUGUUGUGAGGGUAAUGACCACCACCACCACCACCACAGCAAGGUUAUGGAGGUGACUGUGGUGUGGUGUUGUGAGGGUAAUGACCACCACCACCACCACCACCACAGCAAGGUUAUGGAGGUGACUGUGGUGUGGUGUUGUGAGGGUAAUGGCCACCACCACCACCACCACAGCAAGGUUAUGGAGGUGACUGUGGUGUGGUGUUGUGAGGGUAAUGGCCACCACCACCACCACCACCACAGCAAGGUUAUGGAGGUGACUGUGGUGUGGUGUUGUGAGGGUAAUGGCCACCACCACCACCACCACCACCACAGCAAGGUUAUGGAGGUGACUGUGGUGUGGUGUUGUGAGGGUACUGGCCACCACCACCACCACCACCACCACAGCAAGGUUAUGGAGGUGACUGUGGUGUGGUGUUGUGAGGGUAAUGGCCACCACCACCACCACCACAGCAAGGUUAUGGAGGUGACUGUGGUGUGGUGUUGUGAGGGUAAUGGCCACCACCACCACCACCACCACCACAGCAAGAUUAUGGAGGUGACUGUGGUGUGGUGUUGUGAGGGUAAUGGCCACCACCACCACCACCACCACCACCACAGCAAGAUUAUGGAGGUGACUGUGGUGUGGUGUUGUGAGGGUAAUGGCCACCACCACCACCACCACAGCAAGGUUAUGGAGGUGACUGUGGUGGUUCUUUAUUUUUUGUAACAUCCAGGGUGAUGAUUUGUGCAUUACAUGAACACUUGAUAAUAUAAUCUCUUAUUUCUUGCUGCAUUCCUGUAACAUCCAGGGUGAUGAUUUGUGCAUUACAUAAACACUUGAUAAUAUAAUCUCUUAUUUCUUGCUGCAUUCCUGUAACAUCCAGGGUGAUAUUUUGUGCAUUACAUAAACACUUGAUAAUAUAAUCUCUUAUUUCUUGCUGCAUUCCUGUAACAUCCAGGGUGAUGAUUUGUGCAUUACAUAAACACUUGAUAAUAUAAUCUCUUAUUUCUUGCUGCAUUCCUGUAACAUCCAGGGUGAUGAUUUGUGCAUUACAUAAACACUUGAUAAUAUAAUCUCUUAUUUCUUGCUGCAUUCCUGUAACAUCCAGGGUGAUAUUUUGUGCAUUACAUAAACACUUGUUGAUAUAUAAUGUUUCAAUUUCUCGCUGCAUUUUUGUAACAUCCGUAUUAUGUGCAUUACAUGAACACUUGAUAUAAUCUCUUAUUUUUCGCUGCAUUCUUGUAACAUCCGGGGCGAUACUCUGCGUGAUGUUUUGUGCAUUACAUAAAUACUGGAUGUAAUGUGAUAGUUUCUUGGGGCAUCCUUGUAACAUGUUUUGUGCAUUACAUAAAUACUGGAUGUAAUGUGUUAGUUUCUUGGGGCAUCCUUGUAACAUGUUUUGUGCAUUACAUAAAUACUGGAUGUAAUGUGUUAGUUUCUUGGGGCAUCCUUGUAACAUGUUUUGUGCAUUACAUAAAUACUGGAUGUAAUGUGUUAGUUUCUUGGGGCAUCCUUGUAACAUGUUUUGUGCAUUGCAUAAAUACUGGAUGUAAUGUGUUAGUUUCUUGGGGCAUCCUUGUAACAUGUUUUGUGCAUUACAUAAAUAUACUUGAUACAAAG